rnacentral:piRNA from 1 species
UUGUCGUGUCAAAGUGACUGUGGUAGCAUC